GGUGGCUCAGUGGUAGAGUGCUUGCUUUGCAUGCGUGAGGCCCUGGGUUCAAUUCCUCAGCACCA
rnacentral:tRNA from 1 species